GAUAUUUAGGUCUGUGGUUGAAAGUCCAAGCCAGUCGCAGGCAAAGGGAUCCACGUAAGUUAACACUAAAAACUGGGUUAAUGAUCAUGGUGCGGCUUAGAAGUAAGACCUACCGAUAAUAAAAUCGAGAGAGAGUAGUAGUGCGGCGAACCCAAGCGAACCCUCCAGUAGGCGAGUGUGGGGUCAAAAACCAGGUCAGCUAAAUAUC
rfam:Clostridium difficile 630 complete genome